rnacentral:rRNA from 1 species
GACGAACGCUGGCGGCGUGCUUAACACAUGCAAGUCGAACGGAAAGGCCCUGCUUUUGUGGGGUGCUCGAGUGGCGAACGGGUGAGUAACACGUGAGUAACCUGCCCUUGACUUUGGGAUAACUUCAGGAAACUGGGGCUAAUACCGGGUAGGAGCUCCUGCUGCAUGGUGGGGGUUGGAAAGUUUCGGCGGUUGGGGAUGGACUCGCGGCUUAUCAGCUUGUUGGUGGGGUAGUGGCUUACCAAGGCUUUGACGGGUAGCCGGCCUGAGAGGGUGACCGGCCACAUUGGGCCUGCGAUACGGCCCAGACUCCUACGGGAGGCAGCAGUGGGGAAUAUUGCACAAUGGGCGGAAGCCUGAUGCAGCAACGCCGCGUGCGGGAUGCCGUCCUUCGGGUUGUAAACCGCUUUCGCCUGUGCCGAAGCGUGAGUGACGGUAAUGGGUAAAGAAGCACCGGCUAACUACGUG